rnacentral:rRNA from 1 species
UACGUAGGGGGCGAGCGUUGUCCGGAUUCAUUGGGCGUAAAGCGCACGUAGGCGGAUUGUUAAGUCAGGGGUGAAAUCCUGGAGCUCAACUCCAGAACUGCCUUUGAUACUGGCGAUCUCGAGUCCGGGAGAGGUGAGUGGAACUGCGAGUGUAGAGGUGAAAUUCGUAGAUAUUCGCAAGAACACCAGUGGCGAAGGCGGCUCACUGGCCCGAUACUGACGCUGAGGCACGAAAGCGUGGGGAGCAAACAGG